ensembl:snoRNA small nucleolar RNA, C/D box 113-5
GGGAUCUAUGAUGACCACUGGUGGUGUACAAGUGGUAAACAAUGAAUAUGACUCUGGAACUCUGAGGUCCUU